UUAUAUCACAUCUUAUAUCUGUGAGUUCCGGCCUUUAGUAUACUUUUAUUUUUCUUAUUAACAAAAACUAACGUAAAAUCAAAAACAAUGUAAAUUGAAAUGACUUAAGUCGAGAUAUGACUGUAAUAUGCAUAAUCAUUUAUUUUGAAAAUGAUCAGAAACCAUUAACAUAAUAUGUUUUUCUCUCUUAUUUUAUGUUGGUUUUCAUCCUUUUGCCAUUUUCCAGAUGGCUGCCUGAUAAAGCAUGCACUUUUAUUACCUUAGAGAACUGAGUUCACAUUGGGGCCAACAUUUUCAGGAGGGAUUUGCACAGUCCAUUGAACCCCAUACUUUAACCUCCCAGUUGACCAUCAUGGAUGUUGACCACCCUAUGAUGGGACCUAAAAGUGAUUACUUCCAGAUACAGUAUAGCCCAUGUGUGAUAAGGCUGCUUAACAAAGCUAACUUAUUAGCAUCUAUCCUACUGAAAAUCAAUAAAGCAUACCACUGCGAAUCAUGGGAUACUCACAUUUGUUUUAGAAUGGACAUCAGUUGAAUAAUUUAGUUUGAGAAUAUAUGGAUAUGAUAUGAUCCUUGCUGAGAAUAUAUAGAUAUUGAAUCCAGAAUUGAAUUUGAAACUUCAAAUCAUAAGGUAAUGUUAUAUCAUGCAGCUAGCUGAUUGACAUUGGAGAGGUGAAUUAGUGUAUGGAAGACUGACAACUCUUCUCAUAUAAAUUUUGAAGAUUGAAAUUUGGAUUCAAUUCUGAUUAUGUGAGCAAAUAGCUGAAACAUUUCAUAUGUUGAAAUGAGAUAUAUAUAUACAGGAAUACCAUGUUGAGUGCGGCUUCACUCAGUACUGGCCCUGCUAUAGUACGGUUAGUAAUUUGAGAAAUAAAUUUCAGUUAGUACAGAUUGAUUCACUAUUAUGCUGUUUGGAAAAAUUUUGUGUCAAAAAUAUUCCUUCUAAAAUAUUCCCAC
rnacentral:lncRNA from 1 species